UGCUCGUUGGUCUAGGGGUAUGAUUCUCGCUUCGGGUGCGAGAGGUCCUGGGUUCAAAUCCUGGACAAGCCC
rnacentral:tRNA from 1 species